CCUACGGGGGGCUGCAGUGGGGAAUAUUGGACAAUGGGGGGAACCCUGAUCCAGCCAUGCCGCGUGUGUGAAGAAGGCCCUCGGGUUGUAAAGCACUUUCAGUGAGGAAGAACGCCUGGUGGUUAAUACCCAUCAGGAAAGACAUCACUCACAGAAGAAGCACCGGCUAACUCCGUGCCAGCAGCCGCGGUAAUACGGAGGGUGCGAGCGUUAAUCGGAAUUACUGGGCGUAAAGCGCGCGUAGGUGGCUUGAUAAGCCGGUUGUGAAAGCCCCGGGCUCAACCUGGGAACGGCAUCCGGAACUGUCAAGCUAGAGUGCAGGAGAGGAAGGUAGAAUUCCCGGUGUAGCGGUGAAAUGCGUAGAGAUCGGGAGGAAUACCAGUGGCGAGGGCGGCCUUCUGGACUGACACUGACACUGAGGUGCGAAAGCGUGGGUAGCAAACAGGAUUAGAUACCCCGGUAGUC
rnacentral:rRNA from 1 species